AUUGAACGCUGGCGGCAGGCCUAACACAUGCAAGUCGAGCGGUAGAGAGAAGCUUGCUUCUAUUGAGAGCGGCGGACGGGUGAGUAAUGCCUAGGAAUCUGCCUGGUAGUGGGGGAUAACGCUCGGAAACGGACGCUAAUACCGCAUACGUCCUACGGGAGAAAGCAGGGGACCUUCGGGCCUUGCGCUAUCAGAUGAGC
rnacentral:rRNA from 1 species